GACGGAGGGCGCAAGCGUUGUUCGGAAUCACUGGGCGUAAAGCGCGUGUAGGCGGCUUGGCAAGUCGGGUGUGAAAGCCCGGAGCUCAACUCCGGAACUGCAUUCGAAACUACCUCGCUCGAGUCCCGGAGAGGGUGGUGGAAUUCCCGGUGUAGAGGUGAAAUUCGUAGAUAUCGGGAGGAACACCAGUGGCGAAGGCGGGCACCUGGACGGUGACUGACGCUGAGACGCGAAAGCGUGGGGAGCAAACAGG
rnacentral:rRNA from 1 species